AACACCCUCCUUUUGGCACUACUCACCCCUCAUACUUUCUGUAAUAAAAAUGCUGAAUCAGCAAAUCACGUUUUGAAGAUGGCCAAAAUCUAUUGCCUGGGCUGGAGCGGCUGGAGGCUUUGUCCAGUCCUAUUGUGAGUCACAGUGACAUAGCCAGGACCAUGGAGAGAGACCAUUGCUGAGGAGGUGGGAAUGGCAAGUUCCUGACCAAUCAGAUGAUCCUACAUGACGAAGCUGCUCGUAAAGAUGCAAGUCUGAUGACAAACUCAGGAUGAUGAGGCCAUGUUCAAGCUGAACCCCAAUGCAAAGACGUCAAGUUCAAGCUGAAUGCCUAAGAGUUCAAACCUCCGAGAGCAAGCUUCUCUCCAGUGGUCACUGCCUCCUCCACACCUCUCUGGGCCAUGUUCAAGCUGAACCCCAAUGCAAAGACGUCAAGUUCAAGCUGAAUGCCUAAGAGUUCAAACCUCCGAGAGCAAGCUUCUCUCCAGUGGUCACUGCCUCCUCCACACCUCCGAGACAAGGCGACUAUCGAGUCCUCAGCCUCUGCCCUACAGGAGCAAAAUAAUUCCGUUUCUGCUUGUGUCACCAAACUGGAGGUAAAAGUUUACGUAAGGACUUUGAGAAGGAGCGGAAAAAUGAGUACAAAGAGAAGUACCUCUCGCUAUUAGGAUGAGUGCUGACUCGGCUCUGUUUAAGUCCAAGAGCAAGAAAUCAAAGUGGCUCGACUAGUGAGUUGUGUCACGUCAGUUAGUGUGUAGAGUUGCAGUGAUCGAUACACCUGUACAUACGUUUUCUUGUAAUUGCCUACUUAAUCUUGUCACUCUAUAGGGGUUUUAUAAAUUAUAGAGUACAGCUACUGUUUUACUGUUUCACUGGAAGUAUAAUUAUGUAGUGCAAUAAAGUACGUGUCUAUGAUUCUACUAAAACUCCUUUCUCAAAAGUUUCAGCCUAUAGUCUAGUUUUAUUUUAUUACUUGCUUAGCCAUACUAUUGUACACUACUUACUAUUGUAUAACACUGUGUGGGUAGGCACUUCAUGUGGUGUGUGUGUGGUGUCCCUUUUAUCAUAGUUGAGCCAUUUUGCAUUUAGCCAGUAUAAAUUAUAGCUACUGUUAUCAUGUGAUUUUCUCACCCCUUACUUCCUAAGCCCUCAAACUUCCACUCAUUACGACUAUGAUCAUGUGACUCUUUAACCCCUCAGUUCCCGAGCCCCACCCCUCACUGUCUGACUCGGAAGAGGAGAUAGACCUUGGAUUCUGGGAGAAGGCGUCCACCCUACCCUCGGACAAGACCCCAACCAAGGACCUGAACUUGUUAUGAGACCGUUAAAUAUUAUUCUGUUUUUGUACUAUUUUCUGGCAAUGUAAUUAUGUAUGUACCACUUCAUGUCAUCAUAAUAAC